GAUGAAGAACGUAGCGAAAUGCGAUAAGUAAUGCGAAUUGCAGAAUUUCCGUGAGUCAUCGAAUCUUUGAACGCACAUUGCGCCCAUUGGCAUUCCGAUGGGCAUGCCUGUUCGAGCGUCAUUAUCCUCCCUCAAACCUCGGGUUUGGUGUUGGACCCAAGUUGUGCGAUGAACAACUGGUCUAAAAAACAAUGACGGCGUCCGUGGGACCCUCGGUGCAACGAGCUUUUAGGAGCACGCGCCGAGUUGCAAGGACCUUCCGGGCCGGUCUCCUUUUACUAUUUUACAAGGUUGACCUCGGAUCAGGUAGGAAUACCCGCUGAACUUAAGCAUAUCAAUAAGCGGAGGA
rnacentral:misc_RNA from 1 species